rnacentral:rRNA from 1 species
CCUACGGGAGGCAGCAGUGAGGAAUAUUGGUCAAUGGGCGCGAGCCUGAACCAGCCAUGUAGCGUGCAGGAUGACUGCUCUAUGGGUUGUAAACUUCUUUUGUAAAGGGGUAAAGUGCGAUACGUGUGCCUUUUUGAAUGUACUUUACGAAUAAGGAUCGGCUAACUCCGUGCCAGCAGCCGCGGUAAUACGGAGGAUCCGAGCGUUAUCCGGAUUUAUUGGGUUUAAAGGGAGCGUAGAUGGGUUGUUAAGUCAGUUGUGAAAGUUUGGGGCUCAACCCUAAAAUUGCAAUUGAUACUGGCAGCCUUGAGAAUAGUUGCGGUAGGCGGAAUGUAUGGUGUAGCGGUGAAAUGCUUAGAUAUCACAAAGAACACCGAUUGCGAAGGCAGCUUACUAAACUACCUCUGACGUUGAGGCACGAAAGCGUGGGUAUCAAACAGGAUUAGAUACCCUAGUAGUC